AUCUCCAAGUGUCCCUGCCUUUUGCAAUGGGGCUACCGACUCCUCCAGCCCCUGGCCAGGGGCGGGGAUGUGCGUCUGUUCUAGCUCCCCCCUUCCAGCCAGGUCUCCGAAACAGGGCUUCUCCCAGGCUAAUGAAAAGACGCUCAAAGCUGCUGGAGCCAGCCCCAUCGGGGCCCACGAGGAAGAUAUCCAUGAAACUAGCAGGGGAGGAAGGAGGCCCCGGCUGCUUACCUGAUUUCUCGCAGCCCACCCCUGGCUCCAACCUCCCUCGUUAGCAACCUCCAAUGAGCAUGCUUCCCGGGCUGCACGAAGUACGUCUACCGGGCAGGAGGAGACCCCGCUGCUCCAAAGCCAUCUCCUCCGCGCCCCUCACCCACCUCCUUCCCCAUCCCCCAACCACAUCGGCCUUGGAGGCGUGCCCCCGGCUUCCUGGCACCCGCCUAAAUGUCAGCAGCCGGCACGCUGAAAUACCAGACCAGCGCACCAGAGAGUGAGAUUUUGGAACAGGGUAUCCUGGGGCCCACCUUAGGGCAGGGAGAGGGCGAAGGAAAGAGUCUUCUCGCUAGAGCGGCCAGCUUCCUUUUUUGCACCCCUAAAACCUACCUUGCCCACUGAGCAUGCCCAGCUCCACUUGUUGGAGCUACAACUGGGUAAGGAAGCAGAUGAGAAGUCAGCCACAGGUUGGGUUCAGCUCGGAUUCUUGGGCUGUUCUAUUUAUAGACCACCUUUCUUCCCCAAACCUCCAGGUGCUAGCCACAUGACCCCAACAGUAAACAAUAGUGGCCACACUGGGAGAAGGAAUAGGAGGAUAAUGGAAAAGGACGUGAUGCAGAAGAGUAGCUAGCAAGUCCUAGCCAGAUGAUACAAAAGAUUGCCAUUCAAAUUCUCAUAGCUUUAAAACCUAUGGGGAGGGGGGGGAGGGGAACGAGCGGGGGGGGGGGGGGGGGGGGCCCCCAUUUCCUAGCUAAAAAUUUUUUUUUUAAGGAAUCUUAUUAGAUAAAAGCUGGCCUUGGGAGACUGCAAUUCAACUACAAGCAUUUACCUUAGGCAAAUCUCUUAACCUCUCAGUAUCUCCAGGCAACUGAUAGUGGCUAUUCCCACAUUGGAAUUUUCUAUUCUAAUGAAAUCACAAUUCCGGAGGCUUCUUUUUAACUAUCCAUUCCUCCCCCUCCCCCCAUUGCUUUUUGAAAGUUCAUUCUCCUUAAAAAAAAAAGUUUGGACAUCUCUAUGGAAAUAUUGAAAUCUGAGUUGUCCCUUAUGAAAAUUUGUUUGUCUUAUUCCCAAAGCAAUUCAAAUUUCCUUUGGAGAAGUUAAUCCUCCAUCCUGGUCUGAGGAGGUGCCUCUGUUCCCAUCAUUUCUACCAUUGUUCCUGCCUUAUCUUAUGAAAGUGCCAAGAAAUUAACACAGAUUGGUAUUUCUGAGUAAUGUAAACCUCAAAAUUUCUUAGACUUAUAAAUGUUGGAAAUUUCACCAUUGGGAAAUUUCAUACUUGAAAAAUUUCCUAUUGAUAGUGGGUCUUGACUAUUGGAAUGUGAUCCCCAUUGGCAUGGGAGGUUCCUUCUCCUCCCUUCUUAAGAUUACUUUAGGACAGAAACCUUUUGCUGAACAAUGGAAAGGACUUUGACCUAUGCUUAAGCAUAGAACAGGAAUUUCUUUGAGUCAUGAUUGAUUUUAGAAUUGAUACAAUGGAGAUACUUGGAAUUAAUCUCCACCCUAUUCAGUCCUAACAGGAUUGAGUAAGGGCUGCAGCCUAGAUCAAAAUUUAAUAAUUUCAAUCUCUACCCUACUCAGGGUAACAGGAUUUAGGAAGGGCUGUAGCAAAGGAUCAAAGAUUUAAUUAUUUGAAAAUAUGACCUUCAACAGACAUGUGCAAAGCCAGAGACCUCUGGGCGGUCCUGGGUUAAGCUAGAGCCUCCAUUGGUACAGGGAAAUUGAUGGACAGGUGAUUGGUAGAUGUGAGAACUGAGGGGAGGGAACUUGGAUGGUUUCCUUAAGGAUAGGGGGGUCUGAAGACUCCCCUGGUUGGGAGGAGUUUGUCGGAGUGGUUGGGGUGUGCUCUGAGAAGCUUGCUCUGAAGGAAGCUGAAGGUGGGAGCCCCCGAGACUGUUUCUCCAUUUUGGUCACGUGAGUAAUAGGGACUGAUCUCCUUUCAUUGCCCCAGCUAUCUAAGGGCUUGGGCCUUUUGGCCCAGCCUAAACAGAAGGGAUAUUUAAGCCCUAUUCCCUUCUCUCCCCUUUCUCUCUCCCUCUAUCUCUCUAUCUCUAAUUCCUUUCUUCCUCCUGUUUGUAAUUAAAACUCCAUAAAAGGUUGACGGCUGACUUGAGUUUUCAUUAAGGAAUUACAUAGCUGAAUUCCUUGGCGACCUUAAAUUAAUAUAUAUCAGUCUUUUAAAAGUGAUUUCCUUGUCACAGUAAUAAACCCAUCUCCUCCCUCCA
rnacentral:lncRNA from 1 species